CUGGAAACCCCGAGGAGAAUGGUUUCUUACGAUAACGGAGUGGGCAGAAUUGUGUUUUCCCCCAUAACUGUCAGAAUUUCGCAGACACCACAGCCGUCUUCACUGAGCAUCUCCGUGGUUCCAGCCCCAUUCCGCGCGCUCGACGUAGAGAAUUUAUACUCGUACACCCUGCACACUGGCCAUCAUUUUCUCAUUCCCGUAGUUCAAUGCCGGUCUUUCACCGAAGUGGAAACUGAGGCCCGGAGAAGGAAAGUGACUCACCCAUCAUUAGCUAAUGCUGGGACCAGACUUUCUGACCUCUGGCCAUUGUGUGUCCAUGCAUGCUGUCCCCAGCGUCCAGCCUCCAUCCCUCCAUGCCACCAGCAUUGACUGAUGCCCUUCUCAGGGGAGGCACUGUGUGUAGCGCCUCCUCCCUCUGGUUCUCAGUUGGUUGCUCCUCUGACUGAUGGGAGUCACAUGUUAAGAAGGCCUGGCUCCUAGGUGUU